UACGAAGGGGGCUAGCGUUGCUCGGAAUCACUGGGCGUAAAGGGUGCGUAGGCGGGUCUUUAAGUCAGGGGUGAAAUCCUGGAGCUCAACUCCAGAACUGCCUUUGAUACUGAGGAUCUUGAGUUCGGGAGAGGUGAGUGGAACUGCGAGUGUAGAGGUGAAAUUCGUAGAUAUUCGCAAGAACACCAGUGGCGAAGGCGGCCUACUGGUCCAUCACUGACGCUGAGAUGCGAAAGCGUGGGGAGCAAACAGG
rnacentral:rRNA from 1 species